rnacentral:rRNA from 1 species
CCUACGGGAGGCAGCAGUGGGGAAUAUUGCACAAUGGGCGCAAGCCUGAUGCAGCAACGCCGCGUGAGGGACGACGGCCUUCGGGUUGUAAACCUCUUUUAGUAGGGAAGAAGCGAGAGUGACGGUACCCGCAGAAAAAGCACCGGCUAACUACGUGCCAGCAGCCGCGGUAAUACGUAGGGUGCAAGCGUUAUCCGGAAUUAUUGGGCGUAAAGAGCUCGUAGGCGGUUUGUCGCGUCUGCUGUGAAAACUGGGGGCUCAACCUCCAGCCUGCAGUGGGUACGGGCAGACUAGAGUGCGGUAGGGGAGAUUGGAAUUCCUGGUGUAGCGGUGGAAUGCGCAGAUAUCAGGAGGAACACCGAUGGCGAAGGCAGAUCUCUGGGCCGUAACUGACGCUGAGGAGCGAAAGCAUGGGGAGCGAACAGGAUUAGAUACCCUGGUAGUCCAUGCCGUAAACGUUGGGAACUAGAUGUAGGGACCAUUCCACGGUUUCUGUGUCGCAGCUAACGCAUUAAGUUCCCCGCCUGGGGAGUACGGCCGCAAGGCUAAAACUCAAAGGAAUUGACGG